ensembl:snRNA U6 U6 spliceosomal RNA
GUACUCGCUUUGGCAGCACAUAUACUAAAAUUGGAUUAGCGUGGCUCCUGCACAAGGAUGACACCCAAAUUCUUGAAGCAUUCCAUAUUUUU